UACGGAGGGAGCUAGCGUUGUUCGGAAUUACUGGGCGUAAAGCGCGUGUAGGCGGCUUUGUAAGUUAGAGGUGAAAGCCCGGAGCUCAACUCCGGAACUGCCUUUAAAACUGCAUCGCUUGAAUCCAGGAGAGGUGAGUGGAAUUCCGAGUGUAGAGGUGAAAUUCGUAGAUAUUCGGAAGAACACCAGUGGCGAAGGCGGCUCACUGGACUGGUAUUGACGCUGAGGUGCGAAAGCGUGGGGAGCAAACAGG
rnacentral:rRNA from 1 species